rnacentral:tRNA from 1 species
UAGAAAGACAGGACUCGAACCCGUGCCUAAAGACUCAAAACCUUUAGCACUCCAUUAUGCUACUUCC